rnacentral:rRNA from 1 species
CCUACGGGAGGCAGCAGUGAGGAAUAUUGGUCAAUGGCCGCAGGGCUGAACCAGCCAAGUCGCGUGAGGGAUGACGGUCCUAUGGAUUGUAAACCUCUUUUGUCAGGGAGCAAAGGGCGCCACGUGUGGCGUUUUGCGAGUACCUGAAGAAAAAGCAUCGGCUAACUCCGUUCCAGCAGCCGCGGUAAUACGGAGGAUGCGAGGGUUAUCCGGAUUUAUUGGGUUUAAAGGGUGCGCAGGCGGAAGGUCAAGUCAGCGGUAAAAUUUCGGGGCUCAACCCCGUCGUGCCGUUGAAACUGGCGGUCUUGAGUGAGCGAGAAGUAUGCGGAAUGCGUGGUGUAGCGGUGAAAUGCAUAGAUAUCACGCAGAACGCCGAUUGCGAAGGCAGCAUACCGGCGCGUAACUGACGCUGAUGCACGAAAGCGUGGGUAUCGAACAGGAUUAGAUACCCUAGUAGUC